ACUCAAAGGAAUUGACGGGGGCCCGCACAAGCGGUGGAGCAUGUGGUUUAAUUCGAUGCAACGCGAAGAACCUUACCUACCCUUGACAUUGUGCGAACGGCCAAGAGAUUGGCUGGUGCCAUUUGGAAUGCACAAACAGGUGCUGCAUGGCUGUCGUCAGCUCGUGUCGUGAGAUGUUGGGUUAAGUCCCGUAACGAGCGCAACCCUUGUCACUAGUUACCAUCAUUAAGUUGGGGACUCUAGUGAGACUGCUGGUGCUAAACCGGAGGAAGGCGGGGACGAGGUCAAGUCAUCAUGGCCUUUAUGGGUAGGGCCACACACGUGCUACAAUGGGCAGGACAAAGGGAAGCGAAGCGGCGACGUGGAGCCAAUCCCAAAAACCUGCUCGUAGUCCGGAUUGGAGUCUGCAACUCGACUCUAUGAAGUCGGAAUCGCUAGUAAUCGCGGAUCAGCACGCCGCGGUGAAUACGUUCUCGGGCCUUGUACACACCGCCCGU
rnacentral:rRNA from 1 species